ensembl:lncRNA
UAGGUAGGAGCAAGUCCAUGUAAUGCUUAGUAGGUUAGCACUUAAACCUUGAAAUCAGCCUUAGCCUUAACAGGAAGCCAGUGUAGAGAGGCUUGUACCGGAGUAAUAUGCUAACGUUUUUUUAAAUUCUAGUCAAGAUUCUCGCAGCCGUGUUUAACACUAACUGAAGUUUAUUUGGUGCUUAUCUGGGUAGCUGGAGAGUAGAGCAUUGAAGUAGUCUGAUUUAGAAUUGACAAAAGCAUGGAUUAGCUUAUCUGCAGAAUUUUUGGACAAAAAGUUUCAGAUUUUUGUAAUGUUACGAAGAUGGAAUAUUCUUGAUAGUUUCAUCAAAAGAGAGAUCAAGGUCCAGAUUAACGCAGAGGUCCUUCACAGUUUUAUUUGAGACAACUGUACAACCAUCAAGAUCAAUAGUCAAAUCCAAAAGUACAUCUCUUUGUUUCUUGGGACCUAGAAUUAUCAUCUGUUUAAAAGCUUUUAAAAAUUGCCUCCAUCCACCUCCUUAGGACUGAAACACAGGCAAUUUUGGGGCUGUAAAAGUGAAAGUUGACAUUGUGUUUCCCAAUAACAUCACCAGUAUCCGCAAAACACCAGUACCUGCAAAAUACCAGUCUCAACGUCAACAGUGAAGAAGCGACUCCAGGAUGCUGGCCAUCUAAGCAGAGUUCCUCUGUCCAGUGUUCUUUUGCCCAUCUUAAUCUUUUCUUUUUAUUGGCCAGUCUGAGAUAUGGCAUUUUCUUUGCAUCUCUGCCUACAAGGCCAGCAUCCCGGGAUCACCUCUUCACUGUUGAGACUGGAGUUUUGUGGGUACUAUUUAAUGAAGCUGCCAGUUGAGGACUUGUGAGGCGUCUGUUUCUUAAACUAGACAAUAUUGUACUUGUCCUCUUGCUCAGUUGUGCACCACUCCUCUUUCUAUUCUGGUUAGGGCCAGUUUGUGCUGUUCUGUGAAUUGAGUAGUACACAGCAUUGUAUGAGAUCUUCAGUUUCUUGGCAAUUUCUCGCAUGGAAUAGCAUUAAUUUCUCAGAACAAGAAUAGACUGACUAGUUUCAGAAGAAAAUGAUUUGUUUCUGGCCAUUUUGAGCCUGUAAUCGAACCCACAAAUGCUGAUGCUCCAGAUAUUCAACUAGUCUAAAGAAUGCCAGUUUUAUUGCUUCUUUAAUCAAGACAACAGUUUUCAACUAUGCUAACAGAAUUGCAAAUAGUCAUUUACAACAUGAACUAUGUCUACACUGUAUUUCUGAUCAAUUUGAAAUGUGCUUUUCUUUCAAAAACAAGGACAUUUCUAAGUGACCCCAAACAUUUGAACAGUAGUCUAGGUCCGGAGACAUGUUGGACAAAACCCACUGAGUUGAUGAUGGCUCUGAAAGCCUUUUGGAGUGGGUCUGUGGAGUUUUCCAUGUGAAUUUUUGUUGUUGAAUAUUAUCUGCCAUGACUACAAGUCUGAACUCAGUGAGGAACGCUGUAUACGGCCCAGGAGGCCUGUAACAGUAGCUAUAAAAAGUGAUUGAGUAGUGAUUGAGCUGCAUAGAUUUCAUGACUAGAAGCUCAAAAGAUAAAAACACAGUAUUUUUAAAAUUGAUAUACACUUCAUCAACACCUCUGCCUUUGCGGGAUGCGUGGGGGAUAUGGUCACUAGUGUAAGCAGGAGGACAGGCCUAAUUCAACAUAGUAAAUUCAUCAGGCUUGAGCCAUUUUUCAGUCAGGCCAAUCACAUCAACGUUAUGAUCAAUGAUUAAUUAAUUGACUAUGACUGCCUUGGAAGUGAGGGAUCUAACAUUAAGUAUCUCUAUUUUGAGAUGUGAGAUAUCACAAUCUCUUUCAAUAAUGACAGGAAUGAAGGUCUUUAUUCCAAUGAGAUUGCUAAGGUGAACACUGCCAUGUUUCGUUUUGCCCAACCUAGAUCGAGGCACAGGCACAGACAGCCUCACUGGGAUAGCUGGCUGGCUAACAGCCUGCUGCCUGGCCUGCACCCUAACUGAGAGGAGGAAAGAGCGUAGAUGCGAGAAGGAAUACAACGUGGCUGUUAUGAAAGUGCACUGUGUUUACGUGUGAUCAGGGGUGUAUUCAUUCCGCCGAUUCUGUUGAAAAACGUUUCGUAAACAGAAGCAAACGGAAUGAAGCGGAGAUAAACAUACCUGAAUUUGUUCAAAAGAAACUAUUUUUUGCAAUUGUUGGACUAAUGAUUGCACCAUAGAUCAGUUAGAUACAGACAAGAGUGUGCAAGGGGGUAUUGAAUGUGUCCAUGUGUCACUGUCUGUCACCUCAAAUUUUUCUCUCGACAUGUGUGCACCAACAUUGUAAACUUUGAGUAUCAUGUAGCAGCCUAAACCUAUUGAUUUUACAUUGAACUGGCUGAAGGGAAUAUGAAUGACAGUCAUCCAAUGUGCUGUAAUAUAUAUAAGACCAUGCUCCUGAAAAAAAUUGUCCUCCCUGCUCUUAAACGGCCCCGACCUCCACUGCAGUCUAUGUACAUGUUGCCAGUGCGUUACUUGCCCAGCUCUUCCACACACCCUCAGGUUUUGUUAGACCUCUCGCCCAUUUGUGUCUUUCAGUCCCAUUUUGUCCUGUAACACAGUGAGAACAUUUGGAUCUGUGCUGUUUGAUUGGAGCUUCAAUCAGGAGCUAUUAGCAGCUAUCCCAGACCCAGGUGGUCUUUGUGUGAGUGAGUAAAGUAAAGUAGAUCACCUGCAGGGUUAUUGUGAUUACUCAGUGGGCUAUACCCAACCACACCAUACUUAUACCUGUCAGUCAAAGCUACUGCCCCACCCCUGUCAUUACUGGCAGGCCUGCCAUACACACGCACGCACGCAGACACACACACACACAUGCACACGAACUCAGACAAGCAGACACGCGUACACACACACACAACGUUACACUAAUGAGUCCCGGCUCUGAUGAGAGAGGAGGGGGGUAGCCAGAGUCUUGUGUUUAACCUGCCACAGGGGGUGGGCAAACACAUUGUGUGAGUGCAUGUGUACGUGUGUAUUCCACUCCCUCUCUCCUUCUCCAGCUCCGUCAUAUAGUCAUCAGAGAGACGCUUGACUAACAAUAGAAGCCCAAUGUUCCUGAUGAGCUGAACGGUCAAGGUCAUGUUCCAAUCUCUCUUUCUUCUUCUUGUUCUUUUUCUCUCUCUUACUGUCCUCCUCCUGACAGAGGACAAUAACAACUCACGCUGUGUAAUUGGGCCUGAUACUGACGCCCAUCCUCUAUGGCUGGGCAGGCAGGGCUAGAGGGACACUCUGUGUGAUGCUGCCAUCAGAACACUCAAUCAGGAAAAGACAAACACACAAUCACUUACUGCACAUACAGUACAUUCACACUCAUGAAUAGACCCACUUCCUGAUAGCAUGCUGUGAUGGAUCUUCCAUUUUGUUGCAGUUUGAUUCAGUCAGCUUUGACAUCGCCACAACUUGACAGAAUUCAGAUCGCUGUUGUUGUUGUUAUUGUUGUUUUGUGUGGGAUGGGGGAAAAGGGCAUUUAUUUGAGUUUUGUUUUCUUGCAGUACCUAUUGACUAAGCACAAUGUUCUACUUAACCUUUCUGAAAUGCAUUCAGACGGGUCACUAAUAGUUCUCAUUCAAAUGAUCAGUUCUGCAGCUAUCAUUCUUUUCCUUCAUCAACUUCAUCAUUGCCAACAAUGUGAAUCAGGAUUUCUGUCUGGUACUUUUUGCAUUUCCUGUUUAAUCAUACCAGCUAUCACUAAGUGAUAAUUAGAACUUUUAACAUAUGUGCAUUAAUGUUAAGGCUCUUAUGUUUUGUUUGUUCGGUUGAUAUUUUAUUUUUCAAAUUGCUGUCGUUGUUUAAAUAAAAUGCAUCCAAUGAAAAGAA